rnacentral:rRNA from 1 species
UACGUAGGGAGCAAGCGUUGUCCGGAAUCAUUGGGCGUAAAGCGCGCGUAGGCGGCCUCAUAAGUCCGUUGUGAAAGUCAAAGGCUCAACCUUUGAAAGCCGAUGGAUACUGUGAGGCUAGAGUCCGGAAGAGGCGAGUGGAAUUCCUGGUGUAGCGGUGGAAUGCGCAGAUAUCAGGAGGAACACCGGUGGCGAAGGCGGUUCUCUGGGCAUGUUCUGACGCUGAGGAGCGAAAGUGUGGGGAGCGAACAGG